GACAGAGGGUGCAACCGUUGUUCGGAAUUACUGGGCGUAGAGAGCGCGCAGGCGGUCGAUCAAGUCGAGUGUGAAAGCCCCCGGCUCAACUGGGGAGGGUCAUUCGAUACUGAUCGACUCGAAGGCAGGAGAGGGUAGUGGAAUUCCCGGUGUAGUGGUGAAAUGCGUAGAUAUCGGGAGGAACACCAGUGGCGAAGGCGACUACCUGGCCUGUUCUUGACGCUGAGGCGCGAAAGCUAGGGGAGCAAACGGG
rnacentral:rRNA from 1 species